rnacentral:rRNA from 1 species
GACGAACGCUGGCGGCGUGCCUAAUACAUGCAAGUAGAACGCUGAAGAGAGGAGCUUGCUCUUCUUGGAUGAGUUGCGAACGGGUGAGUAACGCGUAGGUAACCUGCCUUGUAGCGGGGGAUAACUAUUGGAAACGAUAGCUAAUACCGCAUAACAAUGGAUGACACAUGUCAUUUAUUUGAAAGGGGCAAUUGCUCCACUACAAGAUGGACCUGCGUUGUAUUAGCUAGUAGGUGAGGUAAUGGCUCACCUAGGCGACGAUACAUAGCCGCCCUGAGAGGUGGAUCGGCCACCCUGGGACUGAGACACGCCCCCGACUCCUACGGGAGGCAGCAGUAGGGACUCUUCGGCAAUGGGGGCAACCCUGACCGAGCCACGCCGCGUGAGUGAAGAAGUUUUUCGGAUCGUAAAGCUCUGUUGUUAGUAAAGAACGGGUGUGAGAGUGGAAAUUCCCCCCUUGGAGGGAAGCUACCCAAAAAGGGACGGCAAACUACGU